rnacentral:lncRNA from 1 species
ACAAUCAAUAUGUAGAGCCCACUUGCCAGUGUACUAACCUAAACAUAUGGUUGGCUUGUGAGAUGUGAGGCCCACUACUUGGAUCUUGCACAGACCAUAUCCAUGUUUGGUAAACAAUAAUAUCUUGAAUGCAUUAAGUACUGCAUGUCUCACAAAGAACAGCCUACCGUGAAAGCCUCAUUGUAGCAGCCUACGCCAGUGAUGGACACCCAUCAAAGACCACCCC